CCAUUGGAGGGGGUAUAGCGUAGGAGUCCUAACAUUGUGAACCUUACCUUCUACCGUUGCUUCGGCGGGCGGGCCGGCCCCAGGGCCGCGCCCCCCAGGCCCCCCCGCGCUCGCCCGCCGGAGGAAACCCAAACUCUUGAUAUUCAUGGCCUCUCUGAGUCUUCUGUACUGAAUAAGUCAAAACUUUCAACAACGGAUCUCUUGGUUCUGGCAUCGAUGAAGAACGCAGCGAAAUGCGAUAAGUAAUGUGAAUUGCAGAAUUCAGUGAAUCAUCGAAUCUUUGAACGCACAUUGCGCCCGCCAGUAUUCUGGCGGGCAUGCCUGUUCGAGCGUCAUUUCAACCAUCAAGCCCCGGGCUUGUGUUGGGGACCUGCGGCUGCCGCAGGCCCUGAAAAACAGUGGCGGGCUCGCUGUCACACCGAGCGUAGUAGAUUCUCAUCUCGCUCAGGGCGUGCUGCGGGUUCCGGCCGUAAAACAGCCUUAUUUUACCCAAGGUUGACCUCGGAUCAGGUAGGAAGACCCGCUGAACUUAAGCAUAUCAAUAGCCGGAGGAA
rnacentral:rRNA from 1 species